rnacentral:rRNA from 1 species
UACGUAGGGCGCAAGCGUUGUCCGGAAUUAUUGGUCGUAAAGAGCUCGUAGGCGGUUUGUCGCGUCUGCUGUGAAAACCUAAGGCUCAACCUUGGGCUUGCAGUGGGUACGGGCAGACUAGAGUGCGGUAGGGGUGACUGGAAUUCCUGGUGUAGCGGUGGAAUGCGCAGAUAUCAGGAGGAACACCGAUGGCGAAGGCAGGUCACUGGGCCGCAACUGACGCUGAGGAGCGAAAGCAUGGGGAGCGAGCAGG